AGCGAACGCUGGCGGCAGGCUUAACACAUGCAAGUCGAGCGGGCGUAGCAAUACGUCAGCGGCAGACGGGUGAGUAACGCGUGGGAACGUACCUUUUGGUUCGGAACAACACAGGGAAACUUGUGCUAAUACCGGAUAAGCCCUUACGGGGAAAGAUUUAUCGCCGAAAGAUCGGCCCGCGUCUGAUUAGCUAGUUGGUGAGGUAACGGCUCACCAAGGCGACGAUCAGUAGCUGGCUGAGAGGAUGAUCAGCCACAUUGGGACUGAGACACGGCCCAAACUCCUACGGGAGGCAGCAGUGGGGAAUAUUGGACAAUGGGCGCAAGCCUGAUCCAGCCAUGCCGCGUGAGUGAUGAAGGCCCUAGGGUUGUAAAGCUCUUUCAGCUCCGACGAAGCGGAAGUGACGGUAGGAGCAGAAGAAGCACCGGCCAACUACGUGCCAGCAGCCG
rnacentral:rRNA from 1 species